rnacentral:lncRNA from 1 species
UUCAGGUGAUAACUCUUAUUACCUGGUGGAUGCCCCAGUGACUUUCUUAUUUUUCUAGAGGUGAUUCUGAAUGGUCAUUCCAGGACACGUUAAUUAAUGGACCAUAAAAAUAAACACUGCAACUGGAGACUGGAAGUGUAAAUUCGCUUGCCUAUCAGGAAUGUAAUCUGUGACCACGACACUUUGUCCAUAGAAAUGAACAGAGGGAGGGCUGGACUGGACUGGGGACCUGGUUCCCAGGCAUGUAAGGAUUAUUUCUCUCUGAGGGCUGGACAGGAGCCGGGCCAGAGAGUUUGCCUUUGAGCUGUUCCCGUGUGUUCAUCCAGCUCCCAGAGAGAUGUCAUUGCCUUCAUUAUGGGUUGCUCUGGGCCAGUGAUGGAGGAGUUAGCAGGGUGGCCUGGAGUGGCUCUCUGCAGGCUGGUGCCAGCUGACACAUGCCACUUAGGUUUCCAAGGAGCCAAGCUGUCCCCACUCACGCAUGGCUGAUGCACUUGUGGCUAAAUGCGGUGCCGCCAGGGCCCCAGGCCAGAUUCAGGGCAGGAAAUAGAAUGCCACCUCCAUCACCAGGGAAACAAUGGUCUGCGUGCAUGAUUUAAACCUGGGCCAACAAGAAAGCUCAAAGGCACGGUCAGCAGAGGAAGGGAGACCAUAGAGUGGCUUGCAUGGAUUUUGUCUUGGGCUAUGACUGUUGACAAGCCACUUAACUGCCCGCAUGUUUAGGUUUAUCUGCAUGUAAGAUGGAGGGAACAAUACGCAUCUCACAGGGGACUUAUGAAAACAACAUUUCUGAUAGACCACUCGGGAUCCAUGGAAGGAAGGUGGUAUGUUCACUUUCUUAAAGAGUCCUGCCUGCUGGAUCAUUUGGGCCUCCAUUGACACCUCCUGGCCCAAGACUAGUAUCUGCACUGUCACUCUACCUGGAGCUCUGUUCACUCCAUGCCCUCACCUUUCCCUGGCCUGCCUGAAUCUCACGCAUCCUUCAAGGCUCGGCUCAAGUCCUGUUUCCACCAGGAAGUCCUUUCACUUUGCUAAAAUUUGUUUCCAAUUUCUUUACCUCCCACUUACACUCUGAAUUCGUUGACAUCAAGUAAGCAAGUUUCUGCAGAGACUUGGGCCCAUGGAAGGCAGGCCACUCUGCCGUUCCUACUUACUAUUCCCAGUGACCCUCCAUAGGCAGCAGCACACAGUUUUCCAAACCCUCCUUCCUUCUCUCACCCAUUCGCUUGCAUCAUGGGGCUGCCUCAGGUCUGCUGAUCCCCAACCCCAAACCCUGCUCCUGGUCUGAAGCCUCCUCUUUCCUUCCGCUUCUUGGUGCUUUGCUACCCAGCUCACCAAAUUCUCUCCUUCAGACUUCAGAUUCCACCCAUUCUCUAGAUUUGACAGGAAAAGUCCUGAGACCAAGCUCUCCUCAGAGGGUAGGGAUAGACUGAGGACUGAGAAUUUGAGCAGAUGACGGUGGGCUUCUUUUUUAUCAGAUACAGGAGGCCGGGAAGCACUGGUACGUCACAUGAUUUUGCCCUAUCCCACCCACAUCCUUCACACCCAGCAGUUAGUGGCUGUCCCAUCUUCUCUGUUGUUCCAGUGUGUUACCCUUGCUCCCACCUGACUUUCUGAGUUUCCCAUGGCACAAGCAGAGAUCUCAGCUCACAGGUAUCAGCACAAUAAAGGAUUUGAAUAAGAUAUUGCUGUUAGAAUGCUAAGCAGCACGAUGUCUGCGAUGGUCAGGCUCGGGGCUAAAAUAAAAAGCCUGCAACUCUUUCUCUGAUUCCUGUCAAGCCAGGUGUGAUAGGGGUAGGGGUGUGUGUGUGUGUGUAUGGCCAGAAACCCUACCUACUAUAGGGAACACAGGCCCUGGGGCCAUGGCCAGCUCCGCACUGACUCUCCUUGGGACCCUCAGUCUCUUCUUGAGGAAAAUAAGAAUCAUAAUCCAUGCAACUUAGAUGAGUGUAAGUGUGAGCACAUGUCAAAGCACUUUGCAGGUGGGGACACCUUACCAGUAUGAGCCGAUUGGCAGUACAAUAUGUUGGCAUGAAACUUAUUGACCCAGUUCCAACUUGCAAAUAAAAUUGUGUUUCUAAAUUNNNNNNNNNNNNNNNNNNNNNNNNNNNNNNNNNNNNNNNNNNNNNNNNNNNNNNNNNNNNNNNNNNNNNNNNNNNNNNNNNNNNNNNNNNNNNNNNNNNACUUAUUGACCCAGUUCCAACUUGCAAAUAAAAUUGUGUUUCUAAAUUGGCAGUUGGAAAAUGCAGCCCCCUAGAGAAAAUCAGGUUCUAGACAAGAUGUUUCAACUAGACUCCUCCGGCUGUAAGCAGACUCGGGAGUUUGGCUGCCUGCAUUGAUGUACUGGGCCUUACACACACUUACAAUAAAAGUCUGUCUAGUCAAAGAUAUGGUUUUUCCAAUAGUCGUGUAUGGAUGUGACAGUUGAACUAUAAAGAAAGCUGAGCACCAAAGAA